UAGGAAGAAGUAUAAAAUGGGAGUACAGAGAAUUUUGAGUUUUCUGGUGCAGGUUCGAUUCCUGUUUUCCUAG
rnacentral:tRNA from 1 species